GGGAAAGUGUUGAAGAGUUUGAGGCUGGCAUCAUCAUAGUUCAAUCUACUGUGUGUCUCUGGCAUGUCAGGCUUUGUGCUGAGGAUGCGCCUAUUAAAUACCAUGAGCUUAGAAAUUCUCCCAGUGCUAUUUAUUCCCUUUCCAGGAACACCAGCAAGCCGAAUGUACCCAGUUGCUCCAGUGUGUGGAAUAGAAAGACAUGCUUCUGAAAUGUCUGGAGGGGACAUUGGUGAGAGCUGGAGGUAGAAGUCCCAUGGAUGGCGUAAGGCUUGCGUGAGGUCCUCGGGUUUGGGGAAUGGGGAAUGCAUCCUGGGCAGGGAGGGCAGAGUAAGCAGAGUGGCGGGAGGUGGGAGGAAAACUCUGCCUCCUUCCAUCCCUCUUUCUUCUCUCUGUGCGUGUGUUUCCUCAUCUGUCCUCCAUCACGCCCCUGUGGAGCAGGUAUGAUUGCCCCUAUUUUCAGGUGGGGAAACUGAAGCCCAUAACAGUAAUUAGCCAAGGACACUCAGCCAUGAGGUGGCAUGGACACUUGCCUGGAGUGGGAAGGGUUUUCACAGCUGGGUGGCCUACCAGAGAGAGGGCCAAAGGUUCUGCCACAGGCGAAGACGAGUUUGUGUUAGAAGGCGAAUUUCAGCCAUCUUGUCUGCUGUUGGCGAAAGGUGGGAUUCCACGUCUCCAUGUGGCAGUGCUUGGAUAAGGGCCGGGAGUGGGACGUGGACCGGCUGUAACCCACCUGCCUGUGUUGCCGGUGCCAGACGGCUGGUCCCGCCUCUCGCCAGCGCCCUCCAGCUGCUGUCCUUCUGACAUCUGUCACCAGCAUGGAGGUGAGGCUCUGGCCAGGACUGCGGUUGCCUGCGCUCUGAGGCCUGCUGAGCGUGGGAGUGUUGUCUUGGCCGUUUUCCCCUCUCCGGGUUCAAGGAGGUUACUUUGAGGCUGGGCUUAGCAGGAUUGCAUAGCUUUCUCUUGCUUCUCACCCCAGAGUCAUCUCCGAGUUUCCUGGGGAGACAGCGCCUCCCCUGCCAUUCUCUCUGUAGGACCCGGGCUUUCUGUCCUUGCUAACGAGGCCCCUCUAAGGAACCGGCAUCCCCUCUUUAUUCAGGCCUAACUGGCUAACCCCCCCUGGGUCUGUGGUGCUCUGGGCAAUUUGGGAGCUGCUCAGGCUCCAUCCAGGGCCCCACUCAGGCUUCAGGGACUGUUCCCUUGGCUGUGAACCCUUGGUCCUGUCCAGGCAGCACUGAAUCCAUGGGCGUGUGACUCAUGCAGUUGCAUAAAGUCCGUGCUUAGAAGGGCCGCAUGAUGGGUUUCAUGCUCUGAGGCUCCAGUCUUGAAAUUCUUAGUAGUUUUGUCCUUGCACCUAUGCUUUGAAAGUGGAUCUAAUGGGACCACGAAGCAUGCAUGGUGUGCGUGUCCACAGUGCUUUAUGUUCACAGGUAGUGUUCUUGGUGCCCGUGAUCUCUGAAGUCUGAUGGAUGUGACAUGUAGGGGGCCAGCAUGCCUCAGAGGGUAGAAGGUAGGCAUGUUGUGUCUAAACCUAAGUAAGUAGAGGUGCCGAUGGCCCCCAGAAGCCAUGCUUCCUGUCGAGCUAGAACUUACACUGAAUGCAGAAAGAAGGCAGUGGCGUUCUAGAAGCAUGAACCACGGAGGAAUCCUAUCUGUCAUAUCCAUUCUUGUGUCACUUCCUGGUGUUCAUUAGCCACUCAUGCCGGGAGCAAUGGCAUAGAACAAAAGGCGAAGAUAGGUUGUCCCCGAGUUCCUUCCUUUAUGUCCCUCGUCGUCAUCAGUGAGCCAGACUGACCCUCUGAGGAGAUACUGUUCUAGAAGAGGAAACGGAGGUCCAGAGAGGUCACAGCACUGCACUUUUGUGCCUAUCACAGAAGCCCUUGAAGCCUCAUGAUGAAUUGGAAACGAGGUACCGAACGGAGAGGUGCCCAUGGCUGUGAACGGCAUGGUGCAGUGGACGGAGCACAGACCUGGGGCACAGGACGAGGCCGGUGGUGAUGGAAACAACGAAGAGCGGCCUCCAUCACUGUGAGAUUGGAGUGCUGCUGGGGGACACCGUCAUCGCGGGGACAUACACACGCGCAAGUGCAGGAGAGUUCGGAGAAGGAAAGUACCUGGGGAAAAUGGGUGCAACGGAUGCAGAGAUGGUUGGUGGGAAUGCAGACUGGUCAGCAGCUCUGGAAAACAGUAUGGAGUUUCCUCAAAAAACUAAAAAUAGAACUACCCUACGACCCAGCAGUUGCACC